UUCUGAAAAUACCAUGGACGGCUAUGCUGACUAAUGUGGCAGUCCUUAAGAGAGCAAAUGCUACCCGCGAGCUGCUUGAUAACAUCAAAUAUAGAAAGAUGGCCUAUUUUGGACACGUAGUAAGGGGAGACCGGUAUAAUAUUCUUCAACUUAUUAUGAUGGGUAAAAUCGAAGGACGCAGAGGAAUUGGUAGAAAGCAGGCCUCUUGGUUGAAGAAUAUCCGGGAGUGGACAGGAAUAAAGAAAGCAGAACACCUAUUUAGAAUAGCUCGAGACAGAGACAGUUUCGCCAUGUUAAUCGCCAACGUCAAGGGGACUUGAUAGGGCACGUUAAGAAGAAGAAGGAGCUAUUUGUGAAAUUUUGAAGAUUUAUUUUAACACGAGAACUGAAAUAUUUUCGCAAAUCUGAUGAGAAAUGGCAUAUUAAUAAUUUGGAAUCUUCAUAGGAGCCCAUUAAUUCGAGAGAGGUAGAUAUGACCUUAGAGCAGUAAUAUUGUUCUGAAGCUUUCUUUUUGUGGCAUUUAUUUAAUUUACUAUUCUAAUUGGUAAAUAAGUCACAAUUUAACUUGAAAAAUCAUUUUAUUUUAUUAUUAAAUUAUUAUUUUGUUAAAUUACAUCAGUUUUCAAGUUAAAUUCUGGCUUAUUUCCCAAUUAGAAUAGUAAAUUACUUAGAACAGUAAAUUUCAGCCGAUUUAGGGAAACACGUUGUUACUUUAGAUCAAGGUAUGUGUCAAAUGAAAGUAUUCAAUGAACGGAUCCAUUUGUGCAUCUUCUCUGCUUUGGCUGGGGAAUUCCGAAGAUAUGUAACACUAGCGCCACCUGUCGACAAGUCUUUUAAGUUUGACUGUAAGUUUAAACAGAUCUUGCUUCGUCUACAUAACACGUUUGUUUAAUAACACAUUUGAAGACAAUAAUUGAUACAAUGUUCUAAAAAAAGCUACUAUUACUGGUGUCUGACACAAUUCUGGAGUUAUACAGUUUCAAAAAAGUCUACUCCAUUUUCGUGUAUUGUACACGUUUCUGGACAAAUAAUUCCUAUCAAGCGUAAGAUACAUUAAUAUCUAUUCCUGGAUUCGACUGGAUGGAUACAAUUCUAAUUAAUGUUAAAAAUAUGAUGCCAAAAAGAAAAAUAUUGGAAUUAUUAAAACUACACUUACACUGACUUAGUGACGAGAGCUUACUAAGACAUAAACGGACAAAAUACGUACUUUUAGUUGACAAAGUAGAUGAUUAUUCAAACUAAUUUUGUAAACAGGUAUGUGUAGCAGAUUAGUGUCUAUUCAGUGAAGAACUCAAAAUAUUGGAAAAUCGUAAAUUACCAUCACAGAUACUUCUUGUGAUGCCACGGAUCAAUAGUGAAUGCUAAAAAAUAACCCGACUCGGCAUAAUCCCUAAUAUUUUUUAGACUAGAUAUAUUUAAUAUUACAAAAGACGGUUCGCCAGAUAAAUAACAUACAAUAUAAUCAUCUAGUAACUAUUAACGGACCUCCACGACGAUUUUACAAUCAUAAAUAGGAUACAUUUUUUGCUCCGUCAAAUUUGUUAUAGUGAAAAUGACUGAACAAAGACUGCGCCACGUUACAAUUGAAUAACAAGUAGAUAGUCCAUGUGGUGAGACCGCUCCCGUCUGGAAACAUUUCUGAUUCGGUUUCUUUGUGGAUUCCUAUUCAAAAAUGUCCCCUUUAAACAAAUCUGAAGGGUGCCGGGCGGAAUUUUUGGGCAGAAAUUGUUUAAACAAUUUUUUUAACAAAUACAAAAGAUCACGUUUUUUUCCUCCGGAACAUAUAUUUUUGAGUUUUGUCGGUGAUUCUGAACAAGAAAGGUAUCUUGUAAAUUUUCUCAAAAAUUGAUUGAUUGAUUUAAAAUCUGAAAAAUGCGAAAAUACGCAUUUUCGAGACUUAAAAACUCAUAUUCAAAUUAGUAUUUUUGAGGUUGCCAGAUACUUAAAUUGAAGACUAAAUAUUCAGCUUCCAGAUUCUGAAGAGUGAUCGCGUCUAACUUUAAUUUAUACCGUUGUUUUUUAAUUGUUAAAUAUGCGUGUUUAUCAGAUUUUUUUGCCGGUGCGGCGCGCUCUGUUUCAAAAAUCUCCUAUUUUCCUCCGAAAAAUAUUUUUUAUAGAUUCUUUGGGACAUUCUAAAUAAAAUAAGUUUCUUGACAUUUUUCUCAAAAGUUAAUAGUUUUAAAGUUAUGAGCGAUUUAAAAUCCGAAAAUGCGUUUUUUGUGAUUUUUCGGAUUUUCAAUCGCUUAUAACUUAAACUAUUAACUUUUGAGAAAAAUGUCAAGAAACUUAUUUUAUUUAGAAUGUCCCAAAGAAUCUAGCAAAAAUAUUUUUCGGAUGAAAAUAGGAGAUUUUUUAAAUGGAGCGCGCCGCACCGGCAAAAAAAAUCGGAUACACACGCAUAUUUAACAAUUAAAAAACAACGGUAUAAAUUAAAGUUAGACGCGAUCACUCUUCAGAAUCUGGAAGCUGAAUAUUUAGUCUUCAAUUUAAGUUUCUGGCAACCUCAAAAAUACUAAUUUGAAUAUGAGUUUUUAAGUCUCGAAAAUGCGUAUUUUCGCAUUUUUCAGAUUUUAAAUCGCCUAUAACUCGAAAAUUAUCAAUUUUUGAGAAAAUUUACAAGAUACCUUUCUUGUUCAGAAUCACCGACAAAACUCAAAAAUAUAUGUUCCGGAGGAAAAAAACGUGAUCUUUUGUAUUUGUUAAAAAAAUUGUUUAAACAAUUUCUGCCCAAAAAUUCUGCCCGGCAUCCUUCAGAUUUGUUUAAAGGGGACAUUUUUGAAUAGGAAUCCACAAAGAAACCGAAUCAGAAAUUUUUUUCAGACGCGAGCGGUCUCACCACAUGGACUAAGAUACAUUUCAAAUCAAUAGAAAUCAGUCUGUCUCCAAUGAAAAUAUAACGUGUUCCAUCACAGACACACGAAAUAUUUUGUGAAUUUUUUACAAACGAUGUAAAGCAAGUAAGAUUUAAAAGAAAACGUCCAUCGGUAGUAAAUUACAGACUCCUUUGUAGGACUACUAGUCUAGUUGUUUUCUUUUUUAAUUGUGAAGGCUUUGUUAAAUGUUUAACUUAUUUUUUUAGUCACCCUUACUAAUUUACUAAUCUUGAGUGCCGGCUUGACUGGUUCAAGCAAUCUGGUUAUUCUCAAGAAUGAUUAUUCAUCAUUUUGUAUGUACGAGGUCAUUCGUAAAAAAGCUUUCCUACGCACCUGAGAAAGAAUGCGACGUGUUGGGAGAAAUCUGGCAACACUGUCUUACACGUCACUCUCUCUUACCCCAUCACUUUCGCGUCGCUGUAUUGCUCAGUGUCGGCCUAGCAGCUUUUGAAGAUGUAAAUUCCGGUAGCUGUUACCACCAAUGUGAAAUUCAUGCUGUGAUACGUUUCGUAAAUGCAAAAUGAAUUUCACCUAUUGAUAUUCAUCGUCAAUUACUCGAAGUUUAUGGGUAAAAGUGCAUAUCUGUUCAACAUGUUCGCUAAUGGUGUAGAGAAUUCAGUGUAGACCGAACGGAAAUUCACGAUGAAUCUGAAGGCGUCGCACACCGAAUGCCGAAGGCGUCCCAUGAAUGUCAAUAGGUGAAAUCCAUUUUAAAAAAAACGUAUCACAGUAUGAAUUUCACAUUGGCGGUAACAACGACCGGGACCUCCAUCUUCGAAGGCUGCUAGGCCGGCACUGAGCAAUGCAGCGUGGCGAAAAUGGUGGGGUAAGAUAGUGGUAGAGUAAAUGCAUAAGGCAGUGUUGCCAGAUUUCUUCCAGCACGUCGCACUCUUUUUCAACGACAUAGGGAACCUUUUUUUACGAAUGACCCUCGUAAUUUGUACAAUUUCUAGUUAAACCGUGCAUGGAAAUUUUCAUAUAUUUGAAAAUAUACAUUCCAGCCAUAUUUUUCACAAAAAUAUUUAGGAAUAAGAGCAUUUUUUUUAUAUUUUAAGAACUCUGGAGGUGUCAACAUACAGUUUGAUAGUUACUAUAGCUAGUGCAUAUUCGCUGAUAGAUUUGCUUAAAGUUGAUGUUAAGAAUGAUACAGUACUUAAAUAUUUCUGUGUGGUAUAUGUAUUUGUUUCGCAAGAACUAAUAUAUAAAAGAGAAUAAAUUUUCAAGCACUGAUAGAAAACAAAGCCUUUUAUUGGCUGAAGGAAACCUGUGACCUCAGUGUUAUCUAAGAGAUUUGUAACCAUAGUAUGUCUAUUGCAAUUUUGUAGAAACAAUUAUGUGAUAUAAAAAUAAAAAAAACGUCAAUUUGGUCAGUGGUAACUAUUUUUUUAUUAAAUUACAAUACAGUAUUGUAAAGCGAAAUAUAAUGCACCAAUAUCAAAUAUUAAAAUAAAUAAUUCCAUUACACUUUUUUUAAUCUGAUGUUAUGUGCAGUAGGGCUUUUCAUUCAGUCAUUUGUUUCGAGCUUCUGUCAUAUGUCGUAUAAUCCGUGUAUAUUAAUAUUAUACACAGAUUAUACCACAUAUGACAGAAGCUCGAAACAAAUGACAAUCGAUGCUUACACUUUCAUUAUUAUUUUAUAUGUACAGAGCUAGAGCUCCAUUUUCCCGGUCCCUUUUGAAAUCCCGGGAAUCGAGAAUCGGUAAUUUAGAUUUCCCGAGACUUCCCAGGAAAUUUAAAAAUAAAAAGAAGAAAUUGUUUUUUUUUUAAUUCUUUUUUAAUGCAAUUACUUAGUAUAAAAACGUAUAAAAUUGACGAAAUAUUAAAAUUUUUUAAAAAAAUUCAAAAAAGCCAAUUCAAAAUUUUAUAGGAUAUUUAAAAAAUAGGAAAAUUAUAAAUUUGUAUAAUCUGAAUUUUCGUUGUUUUUAUUGAAAUAUGUUUUAAGAAAACAUAAAUUGUUGAAAAGAACUCAUAACAUGAAUCAAAACCACUUCUAUGCAAAAGGUAUAUUUAAUAAAAUUUUAAAAAUCCCAAUGGAUUAAAUAAAAUAGGUUCAUUCAGAACGUUUUCGGACCUAUCAGUCCAUCAUCAGUGAAUGCGUAUAUACAUACUUGAUAACUAGCCCCAGAACCAAACAAUGGUUGUACUUAUAAUUCAAUCUACAUUACAGUAUUGUGAAAUUGGAUAGGCGAUAGGCUAAACGCCGAUGUUAUAAGAAUACCUCCGGGAACAUGGUGAGACUCUAAACGAGAACCCUAACAACCAUCUUGGCCCAACGAGGUCUGCCUCGAUAAAUUGUUCAGUGUUUGAUCUUUCAGGCUGGCUCUUUUUUUUGUAGAGAAAUUUUUUGAAGUUGAAAACGCACGCUCGCUUUCUGUUGAUGUAGAUAUGAUGGUUUUAAGUGCAGUGAGUGAAUAAUUUUUAUUUAAAUGUCUGGUCAGCUUAUUUGAAUUAUAGAGUACUAGCUCUUGUUUAAUGACCUUUUUGGAAUUAUCCGUAGACAUAAUUUUAAUUCAAAAUAAAUAUUUAUGUUAUAAUUCUGAAUGCUUCAAAAUGAGUCAGAUCCGUCGCAUAAACAAUAGAGUGUUUAUGCUAACCGAUAUGGUACAUUAUGAUUUACGCCAAAAUUGGAAGGUUUAAAAUACAAUUGAAAAAGAAAUAUUUCAAGUGGAAUAGUUGAAAAUGAUUAUUAAGCAGACAGAGAUAAUUGUAUCAGAAACAUUUAUUAAUAAUUGUGAGUUACUAAUAUCUCCGCUCAUAAUUUAAAAUUAAAUAUUAAAAAAUCCCGGGAAAUCUGGAUUUCCAUUUUUUUACUGAUUUCCCGGGAAAUUUGUCCCGGGAAUGAAGCUCUAUACAGAGCUAGCCAAAAGUUUCCUCUCCCCCUCGUGUCUUUUGACCGAUUAUACUUAUAAUAGUGAAAUUUGGAGGGAGAAAAUAAACGGAUGUAGGUUUUCCAAACAGUCGUAACAGAUGACGUAAUAGUGGCAGAUGACGUUACAGAGCCACUUUGACCGAUAAUCUUAAAUGGGACCUUAUGGCAAGUGAUAUCUCCUUUGAAAGGUAUUGAAAAUGCCUAUUCAAUCGUUCUAAUUUUGUUAGAGUUUACAUUAUUUUUGAUGAAUAAAUUAAAAUUGUAGUUUCGCAAAUAAUUAAUAAAGAUUCAAAUGUCCGCCUAUGGUUAUUUGUCAAAAAAGUCGACGGUUCUCAGUUCUUUAGUUUUUUCGUAAACGUAAAUAAUGAAAGGAAGGAAUUCUUGUGUUUUAUGUUUCUGACAAUGAAUUUGUCAAAAUAUUCUCAAGCUGAGCCAAGGGAGUUUGAAAUUGAUAUUGUAUACAUUAUUUUUUUUUAGUAGCAAACUUUAAAACAGUCUAUAAAUUUUAUUUUGUGACAAUAUAAGGUAUAUGAGUAAAAAUAAUAAUUGAAAUAAUUUAAUAUUUAAUAAGUUUUUUAUUGAUAAAGAAUAUAAAAUCUAAAGGUAAUAUAAAAUUAUUAUUAGGCAAUUUCUUCAACACACUUGAUAGGAAAUAAUGUAUACUCGCUCAAACAUAAACGUAAAUAAUUUUUCUUUUCUAAAUUAAUGUAAGUUUUUAACAUUUAAAAUCUGUAUUUAACUCAGGCAUGUCAUAUUUAUUGAAUUAAUUAAUAUAGACAUCUACACGUGCGGAUGACGAAUAUAAAAUCUUAUUUAUUUUUCAAUGAAAUGACUUGACUAAUUAUUUAAGUUUACUAAUGGUAUAUUUUUUAUCCGAAAUUGGUUCAUUUCUUCCAAAAAUUAAUUAAAAUGAGUUUAAAAAUUACUUUUUAAUAAAAAUGUAUUAUAUUAAAAUUUAAAUAAUUAAUAAAAAACAACUAUCACUGAGAAAUUGAUAGUUUUUGGCCUUUUAUAUGUUGCGAUGAUACAUAUAUUUAACAAUUUGAAAUACUAGGAUCUUGGAGCUUCCACAAUUCGAACAUUUUAACGUUAUUUUUGGACCUGUGAAUCUAUGGUGUUGUAAAGUCUAGAACUAACAAUAUACCACGCAUAACAAUUUAUGUACUUUAUAUUAAUUUACCGAAAUCACCCCUAUGUUACCAAAACAUAUUUGCUUAUUAAUUAAAAUUGUUAUGUUAACGAAAAAUAUGGUCUUGUGUAUUUUCACUUAUGAAGCAGCCGAUGUUUGUAAAUGUGGCACUCAGUAUAACUUAGUUAUUGUGAUAGACCAAGGGUAAAUCUUUUUUUAAUUAUUUAUUCUAUUUUUUUACCUUGCACAAAUGAUACAAUCAAUAAAUAAUAUCGUGUCUGGUUAUUGCCUCUAUGGCGUUUUGUUAUUUUAAAGCUUUUUUGGUCAUGCCGCAGUUUAUUUAUUUAUUUAACUGAUGGAAAUUAUAUUCUAAUAAAGUACUAAAAAAAUAA